UACGGAGGGUGCGAGCGUUGUCCGGAAUCACUGGGCGUAAAGGGCGCGUAGGCGGCCUGGUAAGUAGGGGGUGAAAUCCUGCGGCUUAACCGCAGGGCUGCCUUCUAAACUGUCAGGCUCGAGCACAGUAGAGGCAGGUGGAAUUCCCGGUGUAGCGGUGGAAUGCGUAGAUAUCAGGAGGAACACCAAUGGCGAAGGCAGAUCUCUGGGCCGUAACUGACGCUGAGGAGCGAAAGCAUGGGGAGCGAACAGG
rnacentral:rRNA from 1 species